rnacentral:rRNA from 1 species
GACGAACGCUGGCGGCGUGCUUAACACAUGCAAGUCGAACGGUAAGGCUCCAGCUUGCUGGGGUACACGAGUGGCGAACGGGUGAGUAACACGUGGGUGACCUGCCCUGCACUUCGGGAUAAGCCUGGGAAACUGGGUCUAAUACCGGAUAGGACCGCACCGUGAGGGUGUGGUGGAAAGUUUUUUCGGUGUGGGAUGGGCCCGCGGCCUAUCAGCUUGUUGGUGGGGUAAUGGCCUACCGAGGCGGCGACGGGUAGCCGGCCUGAGAGGGUGGACGGCCACAUUGGGUCUGAGACACGGCCCAGACUCCUACGGGAGGCAGCAGUGGGGAAUAUUGCACAAUGGGCGGAAGCCUGAUGCAGCGACGCCGCGUGGGGGAUGACGGCCUUCGGGUUGUAAACUCCUUUCACCAUCGACGAAGGGUUUCUGACGGUAGAUGGAGAAGAAGCACCGGCUAACUACGUGCCAGCAGCCGCGGUAAUACGUAGGGUGCGAGCGUUGUCCGGAAUUACUGGGCGUAAAGAGCUCGUAGGUGGUUUGUCGCGUCGUCUGUGAAUUCCGGGGCUUAACUCCGGGCGUGCAGGCGAUACGGGCAUAACUUGAGUACUGUAGGGGAGACUGGAAUUCCUGGUGUAGCGGUGAAAUGCGCAGAUAUCAGGAGGAACACCGGUGGCGAAGGCGGGUCUCUGGGCAGUAACUGACGCUGAGGAGCGAAAGCAUGGGGAGCGAACAGGAUUAGAUACCCUGGUAGUCCAUGCCGUAAACGGUGGGCGCUAGGUGUGGGUUUCCUUCCACGGGAUCCGUGCCGUAGCUAACGCAUUAAGCGCCCCGCCUGGGGAGUACGGCCGCAAGGCUAAAACUCAAAGGAAUUGACGGGGGCCCGCACAAGCGGCGGAGCAUGUGGAUUAAUUCGAUGCAACGCGAAGAACCUUACCUGGGCUUGACAUAUACAGGAUCGCGCCAGAGAUGGUGUUUCCCUUGUGGCUUGUAUACAGGUGGUGCAUGGUUGUCGUCAGCUCGUGUCGUGAGAUGUUGGGUUAAGUCCCGCAACGAGCGCAACCCUUGUCUUAUGUUGCCAGCACGUUGUGGUGGGGACUCGUAAGAAACUGCCGGGGUUAACUCGGAGGAAGGUGGGGAUGACGUCAAAUCAUCAUGCCCCUUAUGUCCAGGGCUUCACACAUGCUACAAUGGUCGGUACAGUGGGUUGCCAGUCCGUGAGGGCGAGCUAAUCCCGCAAAGCCGGUCUCAGUUCGGAUCGGGGUCUGCAACUCGACCCCGUGAAGUCGGAGUCGCUAGUAAUCGCAGAUCAGCAACGCUGCGGUGAAUACGUUCCCGGGCCU